GACGAACGCUGGCGGCGUGCUUAACACAUGCAAGUCGAACGGUAAGGCCCUUCGGGUACACGAGUGGCGAACGGGUGAGUAACACGUGGUGAUCUGCCCUGCACUUCAGGAUAAGCCUGGGAAACUGGGUCUAAUACCGGAUAGGACCAUGGACUUCACGGUUUGUGGUGGAAAGCUUUUGCGGUGUGGGAUGGGCCCGCGGCCUAUCAGCUUGUUGGUGGGGUAAUGGCCCACCAAGGCGACGACGGGUAGCCGGCCUGAGAGGGUGUCCGGCCACACUGGGACUGAGAUACGGCCCAGACUCCUACGGGAGGCAGCAGUGGGGAAUAUUGCACAAUGGGCGCAAGCCUGAUGCAGCGACGCCGCGUGAGGGA
rnacentral:rRNA from 1 species